rfam:Dipodomys ordii contig_51269, whole genome shotgun sequence.
GGUGGCUCAGUGGUAGAGCGCUUGCUUUGCAUGCUAGAGGCCCUAGGUUUGAUUCCUCAGCACCA